rnacentral:rRNA from 1 species
UACAGAGGGUGCGAGCGUUAAUCGGAAUUACUGGGCGUAAAGCGCACGCAGGCGGCUGCGCGCGUGGGGUGUGAAAUCUGGCCGCUUAACGGCCAGGCGCCAUCCCAUACGGCGCGGCUUGAGCCUUGCAGAGGGCGGUGGAAUUGCCGGUGUAGUGGUGAAAUGCGUAGAUAUCGAGAGGAACACCAGUGGCGAAGGCGGCUCACUGGGCACCACCUGACGCUGAGGCGCGAAAGCGUGGGGAGCGAACCGG